CCUACGGGGGCAGCAGUAGGGAAUCUUCCACAAUGGACGAAAGUCUGAUGGAGCAACGCCGCGUGAGUGAAGAAGGGUUUCGGCUCGUAAAGCUCUGUUGGUAGUGAAGAAAGAUAGAGGUAGUAACUGGCCUUUAUUUGACGGUAAUUACUUAGAAAGUCACGGCUAACUACGUGCCAGCAGCCGCGGUAAUACGUAGGUGGCAAGCGUUGUCCGGAUUUAUUGGGCGUAAAGCGAGUGCAGGCGGUUCAAUAAGGCUUGUGUGAAAACCUUCGGGUCAAACGGAGAAAUUA
rnacentral:rRNA from 1 species